AGCGCGAGAGAGCUUGCUCUCUUGGCGGCGAGUGGCGGACGGGUGAGUAAUAUAUCGGAACGUGCCCAGUAGCGGGGGAUAACUACUCGAAAGAGUGGCUAAUACCGCAUACGCCCUACGGGGGAAAGGGGGGGAUCGCAAGACCUCUCACUAUUGGAGCGGCCGAUAUCGGAUUAGCUAGUUGGUGGGGUAAAGGCUCACCAAGGCAACGAUCCGUAGCUGGUUUGAGAGGACGACCAGCCACACUGGGACUGAGACACGGCCCAGACUCCUACGGGAGGCAGCAGUGGGGAAUUUUGGACAAUGGGGGAAACCCUGAUCCAGCCAUCCCGCGUGUAUGAUGAAGGCCUUCGGGUUGUAAAGUACUUUUGGCAGAGAAGAAAAGGUAUCCCCUAAUACGGGAUACUGCUGACGGUAUCUGCAGAAUAAGCACCGGCUAACUACGUGCCAGCAGCCGCGGUAAUACGUAGGGUGCAAGCGUAAAUCGGAAUUACUGGGCGUAAAGCGUGUGUAGGCGGUUCGGACCGAAAGAUGUGAAAUCCCAGGGCUCAACCUUGUGAACCUGCAUUUUUAACUGCCGUAGCUUAGAGUAUGUCAGCACGGGGGUUAGUUAUUCCACGUUGUAGCAGUGAUAAUGCGUAGAUAUGUGGAGGAAUACCGAUGUGCGAAGGCUGGCACCCACUGGGAUAAUACUGACUGCUCAGACACGAAAUGCUGUGGGUGUAGCAAUCAGGAUUUAGAUACCCUGGUAGUCCACGC
rnacentral:rRNA from 1 species